rnacentral:rRNA from 1 species
CAUGCAAGUCGAGCGGUACACAGAGGAGCUUGGCUCCUUGGGUGACGAGCGGCGGACGGGUGAGUAAUGCCUGGGGAUCUGCCCGAUAGAGGGGGAUAACUACGGGAAACUGUAGCUAAUACCGCAUAAUGUCUACGGACCAAAGUGGGGGCUCUUCGGACCUCAUGCUAUCGGAUGAACCCAGGUGGGAUUAGCUAGUUGGUGAGGUAAUGGCUCACCAAGGCGACGAUCUCUAACUGGUUUGAGAGAAUGACCAGUCACACUGGAACUGAGACACGGUCCAGACUCCUACGGGAGGCAGCAGUGGGGAAUAUUGCACAAUGGGCGCAAGCCUGAUGCAGCCAUGCCGCGUGUGUGAAGAAAGCCUUCGGGUUGUAAAGACCUUUCAGCGGGGAGGAAGGGUCACUAGUUAAUACCUAGUGACAUUUACGUUACUCGCAGAAGAAGCACCGGCUAACUCCGUGCCAGCAGCCGCGGUAAUACGGAGGGUGCAAGCGUUAAUCGGAAUUACUGGGCGUAAAGCGCACGCAGGCGGUCUGUCAAGUCGGAUGUGAAAUCCCCGGGCUCAACCUGGGAACUGCAUCCGAAACUGGCAGGCUAGAGUCUUGUAGAGGGGGGUAGAAUUCCAGGUGUAGCGGUGAAAUGCGUAGAGAUCUGGAGGAAUACCGGUGGCGAAAGGCGGCCCCCUGGACAAAGACUGACGCUCAGGUGCGAAAGCGUGGGGGAGCAAACAGGAUUAGAUACCCUGGUAGUCCACGCUGUAAACGAUGUCGAUUUGGGAGGCUGUGUCCUUGAGACGUGGGCUUCCCGGAGCUAACGCGUUUAAAUCGACCGCCUGGGGAGUACGGCCGCAAGGGUUAAAACUCAAGGAAAUUGACGG